UUUCAUUUGCCUGCACUACAACACAAAGGCACCCUCCUCGAGUUUUCUAGGCAUGGAAUCAGUCGUACCUGACCAUUUCAAUUCAUCGAAUGCUUUCACGGCCAUCGGAAUCGCCCUCGACACGUCGGAAAUGGGCAACAAACAGUUGGCCAGAAGUGUGUCACUUGUUGUGGUAAAGUAGCUAUCCCAGUAAUAUUGCGGAGGAGGGAUUUUAUUUACUACCUCUAGAUUGAUCUCGAAAAGAUCUCCUUCUUCUUCUUCUUCGAUAAAUGUUUGAAUUUUUCUGCCACUUCCAUAUUGUUUUUCAGCAUUUUUAGAUCCUAAAUCCAUACUGAAAAUCUG
rnacentral:lncRNA from 1 species